rnacentral:rRNA from 1 species
AGCGAACGCUGGCGGCAGGCUUAACACAUGCAAGUCGAGCGGGCAUCUUCGGAUGUCAGCGGCAGACGGGUGAGUAACACGUGGGAACGUACCCUUCGGUUCGGAACAACUCUGGGAAACUGGAGCUAAUACCGGAUACGCCCUUAUGGGGAAAGGUUUACUGCCGAAGGAUCGGCCCGCGUCUGAUUAGCUAGUUGGUGGGGUAACGGCCUACCAAGGCGACGAUCAGUAGCUGGUCUGAGAGGAUGAUCAGCCACACUGGGACUGAGACUCGGCCCAGACUCCUACGGGAGGCAGCAGUGGGGAAUAUUGGACAAUGGGCGCAAGCCUGAUCCAGCCAUGCCGCGUGAGUGAUGAAGGCCUUAGGGUUGUAAAGCUCUUUUGUCCGGGACGAUAAUGACGGUACCGGAAGAAUAAGCCCCGGCUAACUUCGUG